AAGAAGAAACGUCCGGUCCAAAUUGCAAAAGUAGCCACAAAUUCAGCGGUUAGAAGGAAAAGAAAUACGUCGUGUGGAAUUUAAUGUUAUCACCUAGGAGAAAUCAAAUAUUAAAUCGUAGCCGUCGAUUAGAUCUGAUUGAACGGUCAAUAUUAUUCGUUGUACUUGCUAUAUAAAACUUUGGUCCGAGGUCACUUUUCCGCCGCUGGCUAUGGUGGCCUGAAAUGGCACCACCGCCGUGCUACCACCGUCUCCUUUCUUAAAUCAUUUCUCGUAGAUCAUGGAUGAACUCCGACGACCGGAUUGCCUCUUUCCGGCUAGGCCUUGCCUGAGAAAGAAUGAAGAUAGAAAUGAGCAUGUCGAUAUUGGAGAUGACAGUACUCGUUCAAAAGAAAGAAGAGAAGGAGGAAAGUGCUCAGACAAUUUUAUUCCACACACACCAAGCUGACACGUGGAAAGUGGAGUCAUGCCCCACGUGAAAUUUCCUAUAAGCUUCCUAUUUUCCUUGUAGAAAAAAUCAGAUAUUUAUUUACAUUGUAAUUUUUAUUUUGUAAUGAGUAGUUUGUUGCAAAUAGACCAAUAAACAUAGGACACGUAGACAAGUUGUUACGAGUA